CUCAAUUAAUGAGUGACAUGAGAAAUUUAUACCAAAAUAGAUAUUUGUGGCACACGAAUAUUUUACCAACUUGAACACAGUAUUAGCAGUAAAUUAGAGAAUUUUGUAAAUUCUGUAGAAAUAAAACGAAUUUUUCAUAGACAUAUAUUUAUAUCAAUAGAGCAUUCGAAGUGGUGGAAGAGCAUACAAUUGAUUUUUUCAUCGAAUAAAUUUCAAUAAAAAGAGAAAAUUUAGAAUUAUAACAAUUUCUCACUGUCAAACGUUGAUCACAAGGAUAUAAAUAGUUUUUUAUUUUAUUUCAUAAGUAUCUAGUCAGUUGAAUAUAGUAUCGAAGAAAAAUACAAUCAAAUUUCAUUGUUUUGUUCAUGAAUUCCCGGUGAACCGAGUAGCAGUUGCUUUUCUGACAUUGCGAGGAAAAAGCCUUUUUUAAAAUGUAAGAUGUUUUUUAGUUUCAAAAUAUGCACAUACGCCAUUCUAAAGAUUGCAGGAACAUCGUAAAAUGCGAAUACAUGGAGAUAAUACCAAAUAUCAUGUCGAUAUUACAAAACCUCUUUUAAUUUAUAAAAGCAGCAGCACCUUACAG